CCCAGCGUCUCCCAUUGUAUUCUUGGAGGCCCGCGCAUGCGCAGGACUGGCUCUCAGAGCGGCAGAGGGGUUGGCGAGCUGGAGAGCCCCGGGGCGUGUGCACUGGAGGCGGGGCCCCAGGUGCGCAGGUGGCUGUCUCUGAGGUUUGUGUGGGGGGAUUGGCGGUUUCUGGAUCCUUCCUCCAUGAUUUUCAGCACAGGGGAGCUCUCCUUUCUGCAGUGUGGAGGAGCGCUGGGCAGGAGGCGGCGCUGAGGCCACGGGGACCAGUUCCACAUCCCAUAGAGUGUUGCCCAGAGCUCUACCCUCGUGGUGGUCCCACUCAGGGGUGGUGAGGAGGGGAACGGAGCCUGGCGGUGCAACAGCCUGAGGCCUGAGAUGGUGUUCGCUGCGCGGCCACGAUCUGCUCCCAUUGGCCAGGCAACGAGGAGAAACCACCGUCUCCUUCCACAGGUAACUGGCCGCCACUGCCCAGUCAGCCCCCCAUGAGGUCCAGCCCGAGGUGGGCAGCACUUUGUGCUCAGGGCCUGUCCAGCAGGGAGCCUGCCUUGAUCUCUGCAAUCAGGAAUGUGGCUGAGCAAAUGCAGCUUGUACCUGCUGGAUGGAUACACCUCCCAGAUGCUCUGUUGCUAGAAGGUUCCUGGCAGUGCAGGGAAAGGUGGCUCUGCAGGUGGAGGUGAGUGCUGGAGAGGUGUCUGACAGCAUCCUGGGCAGAGCAGGUCAAGGCCCACUCCUCAUGGGAAGGCUGACCCUGUGGACUUGGACUCAGACAGCAUCCUGGGAGGAGCAGGGUUCAGCCCACUCCUCAAGGGGAGACUUACACUUGGGACUCUGCAUCUGACAGCAUCCUAGGUGGAGCAGGGCGAGGCCCACUCCUCACGGGGAGGCUGACCCUGCAGACUGGGCAUCUGACAGCAUCCUGGGGGAGCAGGGCACAGUCCACUCCUCAUAGGGAGGCUGACCAUGUGGACUUGGAUUCUGCAUCUGACAGCAUCCUGGGUGGAGGAGGGCACGGCCCACUCCUCACAGGGAGGCUUACCUCGGGGACUCGGUGAAGGGGCUCCUCUCUACACAUCGUCCUUGGGCUCCUACAGCAGGGUGAGGGGUUUGCUUUCCCCCUGGCCUGGCUCCCUUCAUGAGGGCUUCUGGAAUUCAGCUAGUUCAAUGAGUCCUUACCUGCGGACUCCACACUGCAGGUCCCAGAACAGUGCGCUGAAGACAUUCUACUUUGAAAACCUCCUGGCAGAUCAUUUUGUUUCAUGUUGCAGGUUGUUAUUGAAUUUUGAAAGACCUGAAUGCCACUUGUUGUCUGUAGUCUUAUUGAAGGUUUACAGUGGUUUGUUCUAAUUCGGAAGUUGUUACAAUCUACCCAAAGAACUAGUAACAUGA